AUGAUUCUAAAGAAGAGAAAAUGUUGCAAAUAUGAGUGUUUCACUACUUAACUUCUUUGAACCUUAAAGUUUUACAGAAUCACUCCGAAACAAAAUGUUCACAUUUCAGUUUGGCUGCGGCUGCACGUCCGAGGCUGCGGGUUUUCUCCUUUCAGAUGAAUGAAUGAACAGUCAACAAUGACAAACUCGUUUCAGUAAACACCUGUAAGAGGUGAAAACAUCUUUAUCAGUUCCUGUAGUUCCCUGGAACCUCCGCCGACUCUGCACCAGCCUGUCGAGUUUCUCUUUAUCCACUGCCAGAUCGUGUUACGACAUUUCUUUCCAGCAGGAUUACAGCACCAGUUUUUAGGUCACCUUUUCUCAGAAUGCUUCGGUUACAGCAGAUAAUCCCAAAGAAACCCGAUCCAACGGCGCCGUCUUUGGCAUUAUGUUUGUGAACUUUAUAUAAUGCUCGGUUCUUGUUACUUUUCCUAUUCUAUUCUUGUCAUACAAGGUACAAGGCGGCAUUUAUUGUGAUUCUCUCCAUAUGCGAUAUUCAGUACACGGGGGAACGACCGAGUGCAACACCAUGAAUACCGCUCCGGACGGACUCGGGGAAAGCGUGCGACUGAUUGCGUCUCAAUGAGCAUGACUCCAGCUCAUCUCAGAGGCUUGUUCUUCCACACCGGACUGGGAAACCCAUUUCUUUAUGGAGCUGGCUUUGUGCACGGGACAUUGUCAUGCCAAAGGGCCACCAGUAAAAGUAUGCCGAUUUAGCCAUCAAAUCCUGUUUGCACUGUACCCACGGCUGUACAGACAACAUCACCGCAUUGCUUCCAUACUGGAUUCUAAUGAUCUGAUCUGAUUUCAUCAGACUGUAUCUGAUUUCUAAACAGAUCAUUUUAACGUAUUCACGAUGGGCAUCGAAGAUAAUGAUAUCAUCAGGAAGCAUAAGUCACACUGAAUCUAAACAUGUCACACAUCCCAUCUGCGUGUGCACAUUGGACUGAGUUGUGAGUGGUGUGUCAGCCACUGACUGCUGAGCGUGUUGGUGAACGGUCAAAUCAGCAGCCAGACUACAGUAACCAACUUCCUGCUGUGCUUAGAGCACCUGUAUGCACCUGUAUGCACCUGUCCCUUUCACCCCACACAGAAUCCCCCAGUCUGAAAACCUCUGCUCUAAAGUUUACUGACACCCUUUCCAUGCACUGCGAUGGGAAACAUCCGUGUGACUUGUGUCCGAGUGGCAGUUCUGGCCUGACGCUCGCGUUAUAGACGAGGGAAGGAGGUCACCAGAAUAAUCAGGACUCACCCCCCCGGGGUGCAUGAAUAUCCACAGAACGCCUCAUGAGGCUGGAAGGCCUGUUGGUGUUUUCCACAAAAUUGUCAGCUGGUUAGCUGAGAAGACUUUAGUGGGAAUCCCAUCGUCCACCCACUCACUGAGUACAGUCUGGCAGUUUCACUCAGGAUCACAGAGCUGCUACGUGACAGACGCAAUGCUUUUAUCUUACUGAAGAAAACAGCUGCUGAGUGGCUGAAUGGUGUUUUACAAGAACAGAGUGACAAAUGAGGAAGGAAAACAAAAAAUGGGGUGAUAAAAUGAAUCACAAGCUGGUUUUCUUUGCUGCCGGCAGCUUCUUAUUUACCUCUGAUGAACUCUUGCAUGGUUUGUAUUUCCUCAUUGAUAAAAUAUUUCAGCCUGCAGGGAUCGAGCAGCCCGCGCAGCGCGGAGAAAAGGCGUUGUUUCGCGUUACACCUGGGCAGGUUUGACCAAACUCUGGAUGUGUGUUAUCACUUUACUAAGGCAGGUUAUUGUAUUGUUUAAAGUUCACCACAAUAAAUAUAUUUAAAGCCACCGUGCACAUUUUUACAUGAUUAUUUUAUAUUUCAAAUUAUUCUGAAGCCACGAGUUUCUGUGUGAAGAAAAAUGAAAGAGGCUGUGCGUUGUUGACUGUCACAGUGGGGGUUUUUGUUCUACUACUGGUGGACAGAAGUUUUCAGAUUCCACACAUAGUGGCAGUUAGGGAAGAUGAAGCGGUUGAUCCAGGAAUUGGAUUGGUGGUGCUGAUCGGCCCUAUGAGGUGUCUGAAAUCAGGGCUAAAAUAGAAUUUCUUUUCUGUUCUUUAAGUUGCUAGUACUCUAAACCAGCAGCCUCCAUCGGAAGCUACUGUAAGUAUGUUGUUCUUCAACUGAGGUGCUGAGUGCAAAGUAGGCAUGUAAGCACAAUGGCCACAUUUAAGGGAAGUAACCAGAAUAUAUCAUAUAAUGUUAUCCGAACAACCCCACGGCAAACGGUAAAUGGACUGUACCAGUCUUUCCGACUACUCAAAGCGCUUCACACACUACAUAUCACACUCACACACUGACGGCAGGUACCAGCUGCUCAUCAGUACAAAGAAACUAAUCCGCCACACACUCACACACCGAAGGCCCGGCCCUCGGCAGCGAUUUGAGGUUCAGUGUCUUGCCAGAUAGAGUUUGAAGGCGUAGGCAGGAAUCUGAGCUCUCACCAGCUUUCUGUCUGAACUAAACCAUGACCUCUUCCUCACACAGGUGCAUAUUUCUGCCUCCUCUCACAACCUCUUUCAGCAGGAAACAGGCCUGUUUUGCCAUAACAUGUAUAAUAACCACAAGCAUGCGUACGUUAUUCAGAAAGUGGUCACGCUGAGUAAUAAGUAACGGUACUGCUGUUGGUUUGCCAUAAAUCUAAAUUGAUGUAACCAAACCCAGCAGUGUCUGCCAACCAAUCACAGCCCCCCGUGAAACAAAGCAGUGGGAUGCUUUUGAGAUUCAAGUGAAAUUAAAUGGAACUGAGGUGAAACUUGUGUUCGUGUUUAAAAUACCUGUAACAUAUUUCUGUUCCUUUUGUUUCACUGUGAGCUUCUGCAGAAAGAAUCAGAAGCAUCUGAACCUGCUGCGGGACGAGGACGCCAUCAGCAUGACAUCACACACACACACACACACACACACACACACACACACACACACACACACACACACACACACACACACACCCUGCAGCGGAUUGAUUGAGCGUCUGGGUGGCCGGAGGAGAACGUGGCUGGAAAAUGUGUCGCAAACACUCAUUGUUCUCUGAGCAGUGUGUGAGAUUCCUGACACUGUACAUUCAUCUAACACACACACACACACACACACACACACACACACACACACACACACACACACACACACACACACAGUCUAAUGUACCAGUGUUUCCAAAUAUGGCAGCCGAUGAGACAAGACAUCGUCACCGGCAAAACAGAAACCUCCGAUGAUGCUUGUGGAAAAGUGCCGGCCCACACUUCUUCGUGCCAUCGAGUGCCUGCCUUUGUGAACAUAUUCAGCAUAUUAAAUGCUCUCUUGUCUGCAUUCAAA